CAAAACAAGGUGUCAAAAGGCUUUGCUGCAUAUUACUAAUUUAAUUUUUUUAUCCCAAUAUUUUUGCAGGUGUGUGGAGGAGCAGGUCCUGUUCUCACUGUUGCUACUCCCACAUAGGUGGACUCUGUAACUGAUCAUGUGUGGGUGGGGCCUAUUGAAAUUAAGGAGAUUCUGCAAUAGUGCAGGGUUCUGUUUGUGAAAAGUCAAUUGCAAGAUCAGGACCCUACUGUGACUCCUUACUGUGCAUACUGUCAGUGUAUCAUUGAUUGUGCUGGAACCUGCCUUAUGGGAUAAUUACCAAAUAAUAUAUUCCUCAAAACUUCUUAAUGGCACUGAGGCUUUGUGGAUAGUUGGUCACAUGAUGAGAAAAUUCGGCUGUAAGUACACUGAAAUGAUUGAAUUUUUCAAUAGUUAGUCUUUUCUCAUAUUCACAUACUGCUAAGGAUAAAAGGUGAAUUGAGAGGUUUGACUUGUAUGUGACUUCAGUUCUUUUUAAAAAAUAUAAAUAAUAUCUCUGAUAGGGAUUUCAUUAUUCUUGAGUAAUUUACUGUGUGAACCUGAAGUCCAGCAGUACUGCUGUUAGGUAGGGAAUUUUAAAUUGUUGUCUUUGUUUUCAAAAACAUCAUGCCUCUGACUUGUUCUUUACUUCCACCCAUAACCUUUUUGAAUUUUAUAGAUCUAUAAAAACUGUUUAUGCUACCAGUAUUUAUGUAGAUAUUGCAAACAGAUUUACUAACAUAAUUGUCUUCUGCUGAUUGGAAUAUUGAAGUGUUAAUAAAUGUGUGCUUAUACUUGUGUCA
rnacentral:lncRNA from 1 species